rnacentral:tRNA from 1 species
UCCCAUUCGUCUAGAGGCCUAGGACAUCGCCCUUUCACGGCGGUAACAGGGGUUCGAAUCCCCUAGAGGGAU